rnacentral:miRNA from 1 species
UGACGCGAUUGUGGAAAUCG